rnacentral:rRNA from 1 species
AGAGUUUGAUCAUGGCUCAGAACGAACGCUGGCGGCAUGCCUAACACAUGCAAGUCGAACGGGCGUAGCAAUACGUCAGUGGCAGACGGGUGAGUAACGCGUGGGAACAUACCUCUUGGUUCGGAACAACACAGGGAAACUUGUGCUAAUACCGGAUAAGCCCUUACGGGGAAAGAUUUAUCGCCGAGAGAUUGGCCCGCGUCUGAUUAGCUAGUUGGUAGGGUAAUGGCCUACCAAGGCGACGAUCAGUAGCUGGUCUGAGAGGAUGAUCAGCCACAUUGGGACUGAGACACGGCCCAAACUCCUACGGGAGGCAGCAGUGGGGAAUAUUGGACAAUGGGCGCAAGCCCGAUCCAGCCAUGCCGCGUGAGUGAUGAAGGCCCUAGGGUUGUAAAGCUCUUUUGUACGGGAAGAUAAUGACGGUACCGUAAGAAUAAGCCCCGGCUAACUUCGUG